UGCGCACCGUCCGGGGCUGAGGUACCUGCACAGCCCUUUUCCACCAGCAGCUGUGGUCUGAAGGGCCGGGCGGGAGCCCUCUGCAUGGGGCACCCUGUAAACAAGCAAAACCAGACGAAGCACAAAGGAAAAGAGAAAGGACCCAGCCUGGGACAGAGACCGUUGCAGCCGCUGGUAUGAGGUCUGUCUGGAGACGCGGGCACAGUAAAAGACUUAAAGUAGCUGAGCCAAGAGCAUGUCCAGGGCACGGCCGAUCUGACAUCCUGUCUACAGCUUGGAUGGACACCCCUCUCGGUCCCCAUUCCCUGCUCAUGGCUGCACCACUCUUUCUCUUCGUCUUCUCAUGCAACUUGGCAGCUGUCUCUGAAAACAGCUCAUUAGUUCGGAGUGUUCAGAAACAUCACUCUUGCUUCCGGAUUCUUCUGCUGAAUCUGCAAAGAGGAACUGGUCCUCAGGUGACCAAGGAGUCCCAGCCCCAGACACCACAGCUGUGGAGAAAUGGUCGGGACCUCACUCAGGUCCAGCCGGAAAGACCCAAAUGGAUGUUUCCCUCUGAGGAUUCCCAAACCCGACAAGAGGAGGGAAGAGGAAUUUGACAAGAGGAAAAAGUGGCCAGAGACAGAGCAAGGGAGCUGGUGGGAUGGGAAAACUUCCACGAGAGGCGUGAAGAAAGGAAAUUAUGGUACUGGGAGGGGGGUGUGUGGAGACCCCCCCCCCACGUGCUGCAGUCAGAGAUCCUGUGACAGAGGCGAGGAUCCUUCCAGGGAGAAGCUGACCCUGAGCCUGGGUGUGAUCAGCAGAAUCAGGAGGCGAUGCCAGGGAUCCUGAGCUGGAGACGGAAGCAGGAUGACCACGCUGACCCUGCUGGGAUCCUGAGCAGGUGACCGGGGAGGGGACGGAAGGAGGAUGACCACCCUGACCCUGCUGGGAGCCUGGGCAGGUGACCGGGGAGAGGACGGAAGCAGGAUGACCACCCUGACCCUGCUGGGAGCCUGAGCAGGUGACCGGGGAGGGGACGGAAGGAGGAUGACCACGCUGACCCUGCUGGGAGCCUGAGCAGGUGACCGGGGAGGGGAUGGAAGGAGGAUGACCACCCUGACCCUGCUGGGAUCCUGGGCAGGUGACCGGGGAGGGAACGGAAGGAGGAUGACCACGCUGACCAUGCUGGGAGCCUGAGCAGGUGACCGGGGAGGGGACGGAAGCAGGAUGACCACGCUGACCCUGCUGGGAGCCUGAGCAGGUGACCGGGGAGGGGACGGAAGGAGGAUGACCACGCUGACCCUGCUGGGAGCCUGAGCAGGUGACCGGGGAGGGGACGGAAGGAGGAUGACCACCCUGACCCUGCUGGGAGCCUGAGCAGGAGACCGGGGAGGGGACGGAAGGAGGAUGACCACCCUGACCCUGCUGGGAGCCUGAGCAGGUGACCGGGGAGGGGACGGAAGGAGGAUGACCACCCUGACCCUGCUGGGAGCCUGAGCAGGUGACCACCGUGGGAUGCCAGGCUCAGUCCUGCUGGCUGCCCCGGUAGAUGGAUUGGAACAGGCCUCAGAGGGGAUGCGCUGAGGGUGACGCAGCCGGGGACUGCUGCACCAGCUGCCUUCUGCAUCCGCUGCAGGCUGCUUCCCAGGAUGUCAGCUCCCAGCCACGUGGGCCCCUGCAGCUGGAGGCCUCAGAGGGAGAGGCUCAGGGGCAGUAAGAAGCCACCGCGGGGCAAAAAUGGG